rnacentral:rRNA from 1 species
CGAACGCUGGCGGCGUGCCUAAUACAUGCAAGUCGAGCGAACUGAUGAGGAGCUUGCUUCUUCUGAUUUAGCGGCGGACGGGUGAGUAACACGUGGGCAACCUACCUAGUAGAUUGGGAUAACUCCGGGAAACCGGGGCUAAUACCGAAUAAUCCAUUUUGUCACAUGGCAAAAUGCUGAAAGGCGGUUUCGGCUGUCACUACUAAAUGGGCCCGCGGUGCAUUAGCUAGUUGGUGGGGUAAUGGCCUACCAAGGCAACGAUGCAUAGCCGACCUGAGAGGGUGAUCGGCCACAUUGGGACUGAGACACGGCCCAAACUCCUACGGGAGGCAGCAGUAGGGAAUCUUCCACAAUGGACGAAAGUCUGAUGGAGCAACGCCCGCGUGAGUGAUGAAGGUUUUCGGAUCGUAAAACUCUGUUGUAAGGGAAGAACAAGUACGUUAGUAACUGAAUGUACCUUGACGGUACCUUAUUAGAAAGCCACGGCUAAC